AUAAGCGAAUGUGAUACUGUGACUGUUUGUUCUGGAAAUGUCUCCAGGGAACUGAUUGUUGUUUCUGCAGCUCCCACAGAUGUUAGAUCAGCAACCUGCUGAAGCUUAAUGAAGAUGUAAGUAACUAGUUUGCUGUUUUUCGCUUUUAAUUUUYACCUCCAGAGUGGAUUUGAUGGAUCGUUAUUGUCCMGUCAYGGCUGUGUGUUGCUUUUUGAUGUGUUGUGGGUUUGAAUAGUGCUGCGUUUCUGGGAUKAAGGUUGAGGAAUUCACAGUGAUCCCCUGCGUAUGUUAUUUCUGCCAUUUUCUUUAUUUUUUCUGAUUUAUAGAUCAUAAAACCAACUUUAAAUUAAAUGUCAAUGCUCUACACACAGUUCCCACAAGUUUGAAGUGACCGCGCUAUCUUAGGCAAGUGCAACGCACAGCGGACCAACGGCUUUGAGACCAAGAAAAGGAAAAGAAAAUAUGUGGACACUCUUGACCAAUGUACAAGAGAAAGAUACAUGAACAAAAUGGCUGCUGUCGGUAUCGACCUGUAUGAGACGGAGAUGGGAAAUAUGCUAGAUGAUGUGGAUAAGCUGCCUACGAUUUCAAACUACAACAUGGAGGAGCUUCACAGCCUGAAAUCACUGGACGCACGCCAUCAAUGUUUAAACGGCUUUGUGAAUAAUAAAAAGAAAACAAWAAUCGGAGGAACAGAGCUGAGAAAUUCAGGUGUUUUUGCCAGUGAUUCAGCGCAGAAGCUGCUCCCACAGGAAGGUCACCUCUGAGCCUCGUAGAGCUGGGUCAGAGGUCAAGGUCAGACACGAUCAUAAACGCCGUUGGACGGAGGGACACUGCAGAGUCAAGAUGCAGAAAAAGGGCCUAAAAGCGACUGGAAGGAGGAAUGCAUGAAGAAGCAGACAGAGAUAAUCUGCACCAGGGACAUCUCUGAAACCGCUCAAUAAAUCAUAUCACCACAUCGCACUCUCUUUGUGUCGUAAUCCGUGCAUCUUUCUCACAUCCUUCUUGUUCUCCUUUGGCUUUGCUUUUCCUGAACACACAUGGCUGGAAAGCAAAUGUCUUGGCCUCCCCGACUCCCCUGCUGCAGCCAGGACGAGCCGGCCGAGGAAACGGGGCCAAAUUCGGAAAUGGGAUUAAGGGGGAGAAAGUUCAAAAGUACAGGGGAGGAAAAGGGCAGCAAAUGACAGCGAGGGAAAGACAGAAGAGAAGAGGAGAUUAUGAAAAGGAGCAGGAAUGUGUGGGAAGAGGUUUGACACAUCAUCUUGUGUUCUUUUGCAGAAGGGAAAUAAAAAAAAUAAAAAAUGUCCUGCAGAGACGGGCGAGUCAGACAGAUGGGCUUUAAGUUGCUCUGCAGCGUUCUUUCUGCACUGCAGACGGAGGUGAUGAAUAAGUCAGCGCUGUUGGCAGCUAGUCAGGAUUAAAC